rnacentral:rRNA from 1 species
AUUGAACGCUGGCGGCAUGCUUUACACAUGCAAGUCGAACGGCAGCGCGGGCUUCUGCCUGGCGGCGAGUGGCGAACGGGUGAGUAAUUCAUUGGAACGUGCCCAGUAGUGGGGGAUAGCCCGGCGAAAGCCGGAUUAAUACCGCAUACGACCUGAGGGUGAAACCGGGGGACCGAAAGGCCUCGCGCCAUUUGAGCGGCCGAUGUCGGAUUAGCUAGUUGGUGGGGUAAAGGCUUACCAAGGCGACGAUCCGUAGCUGGUCUGAGAGGACGACCAGCCACACUGGGACUGAGACCCGGCCCAGACUCCUACGGGAGGCAGCAGUGGGGAAUUUUGGACAAUGGGGGCAACCCUGAUCCAGCCCUGCCGCGUGCGGGAAGAAGGCCUUCGGGUUGUAAACCGCUUUUGUCCGGGAAGAAAUCCUCUGGGCUAAUACCCCGGGGGGAUGACGGUACCGGAAGAAUAAGCACCGGCUAACUACGUG